UACAGAGGGUGCGAGCGUUAAUCGGAAUUACUGGGCGUAAAGGGCGCGUAGGCGGAUAAAUAAGUUGGAUGUGAAAUCCCUGGGCUUAACCUAGGAACUGCAUACAAUACUGUUUAGCUAGAGUGCGGUAGAGGGUAGUGGAAUUUCCGGUGUAGCGGUGAAAAUGCGUAGAUAUCGGAAGGAACACCAGUGGCGAAGGCGGCUACCUGGACUGACACUGACGCUGAGGCGCGAGAGCGUGGGAGCAAACAGG
rnacentral:rRNA from 1 species